GACGAACGCUGGCGGCAUGCCUAAUACAUGCAAGUCGAGCGAACAGAUGAAGUGCUUGCACUUCUGACGUUAGCGGCGAACGGGUGAGUAACACGUAAGGAAUCUGCCUAUAAGCGGGGGAUAACAUUCGGAAACGGGUGCUAAUACCGCAUAAUAUCUUCUUCCGCAUGGAAGAAGAUUGAAAGACGGCUCUGCUGGCACUUAUAGAUGACCUUGCGGUGCAUUAGUUAGUUGGUGGGGUAACGGCCUACCAGGACGAUGAUGCAUAGCCGACCUGAGAGGGUGAUCGGCCACAUUGGGACUGAGACACGGCCCAAACUCCUACGGGAGGCAGCAGUAGGGAAUCUUCCGCAAUGGGCGAAAGCCUGACGGAGCAAUGCCGCGUGAGUGAAGAAGGCCUUCGGGUCGUAAAACUCUGUUAUAAGAGAAGAACAAAUUGUAGAGUAACUGCUACAGUCUUGACGGUAUCUUAUCAGGAAGCCACGGCUAACUACGUGCCAGCCGCCGCCGUAA
rnacentral:rRNA from 1 species